GGCCGCCCGACAGCGUGUGACGUCACGGAUGGGCGGGCGCCAUUUUGAGGCGGUCCCUGAGGCGUGUGGGGUAUCGCGUGUGGUGCAACUAUCGCAGCAGCUGCCCAGGCAAGUAAAUGGAUAUCUUUGUCAGUUCUUACCAUCCUGCAGUGUUAUGGUCACCUUGAUAUUGCAUCGAGCAAAUCAAGUCCUAAACAUUGGUCAACUUUUUACCUGGGUGUGGUGGGGUACAAUAGAGCUACCACUUCCUAGAAUUGAAGGAUGGGGCAGGGCCUCUGGUGCUGAGCCUGAGCCCCCCCCCGUCUCCAAAUACUUGUACAGAAGUGCCUACAGAACUCCUGCUCUAGGUGACACCACAACCAAAGCCGCAGGGUAUUUCCCAGUGGUGCUUAAUGAACCUGAGUUCCUCAG
rnacentral:lncRNA from 1 species